rnacentral:rRNA from 1 species
AGCGAACGCUGGCGGCAGGCCUAACACAUGCAAGUCGAACGAAGUCUUCGGACUUAGCGGCGGACGGGUGAGUAACACGUGGGUACGUGCCUUUAGGUUCGGAAUAACUCAGGGAAACUUGUGCUAAUACCGAAUGUGCCCUUCGGGGGAAAGAUUUAUCGCCUUUAGAGCGGCCCGCGUCUGAUUAGCUAGUUGGUGAGGUAAAGGCUCACCAAGGCUACGAUCAGUAGCUGGUCUGAGAGGAUGACCAGCCACAUUGGGACUGAGACACGGCCCAAACUCCUACGGGAGGCAGCAGUGGGGAAUCUUGCGCAAUGGGCGAAAGCCUGACGCAGCCAUGCCGCGUGGAUGAUGAAGGUCUUAGGAUUGUAAAAUCCUUUCACCGGUGAAGAUAAUGACUGUAGCCGGAGAAGAAGCCCCGGCUAACUUCGUGCCAGCCGCCGCGGUAAGAC